UACAAGCAGUGGGAGCCCUACCACCAAAGCAUUCUCUGGUGUUGAAGGCCCUGCAAAGCAGCAUCGCGGUGGCGGAGCGUCGUUUGCGACGCCCAACACACAAAACAAGCGGUGAGUGCUUUGGGGUGGGGUGACUGCGUACCUUUUGUAUAAUGGGUCAGCGACUUAUAUUCUGUAGCAAGGUUAACCGAAUAGGGGAGCCGGAGGGAAACCGAGUCUUAACCGGGCGUUAAGUUGCAGGGUAUAGACCCGAAACCCGGUGAUCUAGCCAUGGGCAGGUUGAAGGUUGGGUAACACUAACUGGAGGACCGAACCGACUAAUGUUGAAAAAUUAGCGGAUGACCUGUGGCUGGGGGUGAAAGGCCAAUCAAACCGGGAGAUAGCUGGUUCUCCCCGAAAGCUAUUUAGGUAGCGCCUCGUGAAUUCAUCUCCGGGGGUAGAGCACUGUUUCGGCUAGGGGGCCAUCCCGGCUUACCAACCCGAUGCAAACUGCGAAUACCGGAGAAUGUUAUCACGGGAGACACACGGCGGGUGCUAACGUCCGUCGUGAAGAGGGAAACAACCCAGACCGCCAGCUAAGGUCCCAAAGUCAUGGUUAAGUGGGAAACGAUGUGGGAAGGCCCAGACAGCCAGGAUGUUGGCUUAGAAGCAGCCAUCAUUUAAAGAAAGCGUAAUAGCUCACUGGUCGAGUCGGCCUGCGCGGAAGAUGUAACGGGGCUAAACCAU
rnacentral:rRNA from 1 species